rnacentral:rRNA from 1 species
UACGUAGGUGGCAAGCGUUGUCCGGAUUUAUUGGGUUUAAAGGGUGCGUAGGCGGCCUAUUAAGUCAGUGCUGAAAUAUCCCGGCUUAACCGGGAGGGUGGCAUUGAUACUGAUGGGCUUGAGUGGAGUCGAGGUAGGCGGAAUUGACGGUGUAGCGGUGAAAUGCUUAGAUAUCGUCAAGAACACCGAUAGUGUAGACAGCUUACUAGGCUCAAACUGACGCUGAGGCACGAAAGUGUGGGGAUCAAACAGG